AACGAACGCUGGCGGCAUGCCUAACACAUGCAAGUCGAACGAGACCUUCGGGUCUAGUGGCGCACGGGUGCGUAACGCGUGGGAACCUGCCCUUAGGUUCGGAAUAACUCCCCGAAAGGGGUGCUAAUACCGGAUAAUGUCUUCGGACCAAAGAUUUAUCGCCUUUGGAUGGGCCCGCGUUGGAUUAGCUAGUUGGUAGGGUAAAAGCCUACCAAGGCGACGAUCCAUAGCUGGUCUGAGAGGAAGAUCAGCCACACUGGGACUGAGACACGGCCCAGACUCCUACGGGAGGCAGCAGUGGGGAAUAUUGGACAAUGGGCGAAAGCCUGAUCCAGCAAUGCCGCGUGAGUGAUGAAGGCCUUAGGGUUGUAAAGCUCUUUUACUCGGGAUGAUAAUGACAGUACCGGGAGAAUAAGCUCCGGCUAACUCCGUG
rnacentral:rRNA from 1 species